GAGGGUAUAGCUGAAGUGGUAUAGUGAAUGCUUAGCAUGCAUACGGUCCUGGGUUCAAUCCCCAGUACCUCCU
rnacentral:tRNA from 1 species